rnacentral:tRNA from 1 species
GGGGAUAUAGCUCAGUUGGCUAGAGCGGCUGGUUCGCAAUCAGCAGGCCGGGGGUUCAACUCCCCCUAUCUCCA